AAUAAAUAGUAUGAUCGGCAUGCUCCAACUUCCAGGUUUUGUUAGCAAGAUUAAGCGGUGCGUUUCAAGGUGUAAAGGAACUAAACAACCUAGCGGUCAGAGUGAGAGAGAGAGAGAAUGGCGUUGGAUUCCCUGAAAUGGGGUUACAUACGGAUCAUUAGUGGCACAAUUUUGGGUGGAAUUCUAGGUUUCUACGUUAUGCACCGUGCAGAAGUCAGCUAUAAGGAGAAGAUGAAGGAGAGACUGAAGCAAUAUGAGAAUGAACUCAAGAAGAAAGAGAAGUUGAAUCAGCUUGAAGACUCCUUUUAGUUUUUUUUCUUUUCUUUCUUUGUCCUGUUUGUUUGCUGGGAAUACGUUGGAAAGUGAUGGAACUAUACGUAGUGUUGCAAAUAAAGAAGGAAUCCACCAAGCUGAAGACAACAGGGUAGACAUCAAUUAUGAGAUCCUACAUCAAUUUUUAGCCAGAAACGUGCUGCUGUACUAUAUGAAAAUGUAAACAAGGACAAGGCAAAUGAAGUUUAUUGGCUUGGUUUUUGUAACAAUGUAUUGUGGGAUUCCUUCAGGAUGUACCUUUACAUAAAAAUUGGAAAAUUGGGCUUUAAUUAAGGAACUGUGUGUGGCAGUUUAUUUCUCUUGUUAAUGCAUGCAGCACAUGUUUUUG